rnacentral:rRNA from 1 species
AGGGAUUGCCCUAGUAACGGCGAGUGAAGCGGCAACAGCUCAAAUUUGAAAUCUGGCUUCGGCCCGAGUUGUAAUUUGUAGAGGAUGCUUUUGGUGCGGUGCCUUCUGAGUUCCCUGGAACGGGACGCCACAGAGGGUGAGAGCCCCGUAUAGUCGGACACCAAGCCUCUGUAAAGCUCCUUCGACGAGUCGAGUAGUUUGGGAAUGCUGCUCAAAAUGGGAGGUAAAUGCCUUCUAAAGCUAAAUACUGGCCAGAGACCGAUAGCGCACAAGUAGAGUGAUCGAAAGAUGAAAAGCACUUUGAAAAGAGGGUUAAACAGCACGUGAAAUUGUUGAAAGGGAAGCGCUUGUGACCAGACUUGCGCCAGGUGGAUCAUCCAGCGUUCUCGCUGGUGCACUCUGCCUGGUUCAGGCCAGCAUCGGUUUUCUCAGUGGGAUAAAGGCUCUGGGAAUGUAGCUCCUCCGGGAGUGUUAUAGCCCGUUGCACAAUACCUCUGAGGGGACCGAGGUUCGCGCUCUGCAAGGAUGCUGGCGUAAUGGUCAUCAGCGGCCCGUCUUGAAACACGGACCAAGGAGUCAAGCAUUAGGGCGAGUGUUUGGGUGCAAAACCCGCACGCGUAAUGAAAGUGAACGUAGGUGAGAGCUUCGGCGCAUCAUCGACCGAUCCUGAUGUAUUCGGAUGGAUUUGAGUAAGAGCCUUACCGCUUGGACCCGAAAGAUGGUGAACUAUGCUUGUAUAGGGUGAAGCCAGAGGAAACUCUGGUGGAGGCUCGCAGCGGUUCUGACGUGCAAAUCGAUCGUCAAAUAUGAGCAUGGGGGCGAAAGACUAAUCGAACUAUCUAGUAGCUG